rnacentral:rRNA from 1 species
GACGAACGCUGGCGGCGUGCUUAACACAUGCAAGUCGAACGGAAAGGCCCUGCUUUUGUGGGGUGCUCGAGUGGCGAACGGGUGAGUAACACGUGAGUAACCUGCCCUUGACUUUGGGAUAACUUCAGGAAACUGGGGCUAAUACCGGAUAGGAGCUCCUGCUGCAUGGUGGGGGUUGGAAAGUUUCGGCGGUUGGGGAUGGACUCGCGGCUUAUCAGCUUGUUGGUGGGGUAGUGGCUUACCAAGGCUUUGACGGGUAGCCGGCCUGAGAGGGUGACCGGCCACAUGGGGACUGAGAGACGGCCCGGACCCAUACGGGAGGCAGCAGGGGGGAUUAUUGAACAGGGGGCGGAGGCCUGAUGCAGCAACCCCGCGUGGGGGAUGAGGGCUGUCGGUUUGUAAACCGCUUUCGCCGGUGACGAAGGGGGAGGGAGGGUAAGGGGUAAAGAAGCACCGGCAAACUAGGUC